AUUGAACGCUGGCGGCAGGCCUAACACAUGCAAGUCGAGCGAGCGGCGGACGGGUGAGUAAUGUCUGGGAAACUGCCUGAUGGGGGGGGAUAACUACAGGAAACGGUAGCUAAUACUGCAUACCAUUAGAUGUGCCCAGAUGGGGUUAGCUAGUGGGUGGGGUAACGGCUCACCUAGGCGACGAUCCCUAGCUGGUCUGAGAGGAUGACCAGCCACACUGGAACUGAGACACGGCCCAGACUCCUACGGGAGGCAGCAGUGGGGAAUAUUGGACAAUGGGCGCAAGCCUGAUGCAGCCAUGCCGCGUGUGUGAAGAAGGCCUUCGGGUUGUAAAGCACUUUCAGCGGGGAGGCGUUACCCGCAGAAUAAGCACCGGCUAACUCCGUGCCAGCAGCCGCGGUAAUUC
rnacentral:rRNA from 1 species